ACUUUGUAGGAACUGCAAGUGUCAUAAUUGCGUUGACGGAUGGUGAGCUUCAAGAACAUCAGCUGAUAGAAGCUCAACAAGAGGCGGCACGAGCUCGGGCAUUGGGUGCAAUCGUGUAUUGUGUUGGAGUUAAGGACUUCAAUGAAACGCAGCUGGCUACCGUAGCGGACACCAGUAAGCAUGUGUUUCCCGUCUUGGGAGGAUUCCAGGCGCUGAGAGGAAUGAUUGACU